UACGUAGGGGGCAAGCGUUGUCCGGAUUUAUUGGGCGUAAAGAGCGUGUAGGCGGUUAGGUAGGUCCGUUGUGAAAACUCGGAGGCUCAACCUCGAGACGCCGAUGGAAACCAUCUGACUAGAGUCCGGAAGAGGAGAGUGGAAUUCCUGGUGUAGCGGUGGAAAUGCGCAGAUAUCAGGAAGAACACCCGGUGGCGAAGGCGGACACCACU
rnacentral:rRNA from 1 species